UAAUUUUAGAGAGAGAGAGAGAGUACAGUUUGCGUGCUUUUACACGCAGCUGGCGUUCGUGCUCACAAGUUAUCGAUCUUCAAAUCAACGACUAGUUUCGUUAAAUUUGAUCUAAAAUAUUUGACAAAUUUAAAAAUAAUUUUUUUAAAUUUUCGAUGGUUGAAAAUAUAAAAUCUCACAAAAUAGUGAUGAUACAAUGCUGAAAUUUUACAUAACAAAUAUUUAUCCUG
rnacentral:lncRNA from 1 species